rnacentral:lncRNA from 10 species
UCCAUUGUAUAUUUCAAUAUUUCGAACCAUGAUCAGCUCACUAUUUCCUGAGCUGGAACUUGCUAACUUCUAUGAUCGUUUUUUCAUGAAAGUUGAGAAGGCCGGGCCUUGGCCUUUUGUUUCUUCAUGAGAAGGUGUGACACUGCCUAUAAAUGUUUCUUACUGUGAAACACUCUGAAUGUGAGGCUGUAGUCAGGGUUGUUUCUGGUAGCUACUCAGGAGGCUGAGGUGGGAGGAUUGCUUGACCCCAGUAAUUGGAGGCUGCAGUGGCCCAUGAUUGUGCCACUGCAUUCAAGCCUGUGCAACAGAGCAAGACCUUGUCUCCAAAAAUAAAAACAAAAAUGAAAAUUGUGUGCAGUUCAGACUUUCUAAUCAGUCUCUU